CCUACGGGUGGCAGCAGUGAGGAAUAUUGGUCAAUGGGCGCGAGCCUGAACCAGCCCAGUAGCGUGAAGGAUGACUGCCCUACGGGUUGUACACUUCUUUUAUAAGGGAAUAAAGUGGGGCACGUGUGCCUUUUUGUAAGUACUUUAUGAAUAAGGAUCGGCUAACUCCGUGCCAGCAGCCGCGGUAAUACGGAGGAUCCGAGCGGUAUCCGGAUUUAUUGGGUUUAAAGGGAGCGUAGAUGGGUUGUUAAGUCAGUUGGGAAAGUUUGCGGCUCAACCGUACAAGUGCAAUUGAUACUGGCAGCCUUGAGUACAGUUGAGGUAGGCGGAAUUCGUGGUGUAGCGGUGAAAUGCUUAGAUAUCACGAAGAACUCCGAUUGCGAAGGCAGCCUACUAACCUGCCACUGACAUUGAGGCACGAAAGCGUGGGUAUCAAACAGGAUUAGAUACCCCUGUAGUC
rnacentral:rRNA from 1 species